UUUCUAUAUCAGCCCCAUAUAUCCUAAGCAUUCUGUAACACAUCUGUGUGCUCUUUGUCUGUUCUAUACACCCUUUGAUGUACAUUUGGCCUGAAACCAUGCUGAAAAUAUCCAAAGUAUUUACAACACUAGCUUCAAAAAGGAAAACCCGUUUGUUGAGCUCUGCACACAACUCUGAGCUCACCUGGAGGACUCCUAAUGACUUUGGGGGGAAGAAGGAGUUGAGUAGCUGUAACACAUGGGCUGAAGAGAAACCCGGAUGCUGAAGGAUUUUACGAUCUUUUUCCUGUGACCAACAAAGCGAAAUGGUGGCUGUAAAGCCAUAAAGAGGAGAACAGAGGAAAAGGGGUCGUUUAUUGCCCUGGUAUAACACCAACAGUCCCCUGAGUGCAGGCAACAGCUCAGAAAUAAAGUUUAAGCAAAAUAAAACGACCAUUUGAGGCAGAGAUUAGACAAGCAGUGCCUGGGACACCCUCCUGCAAGAAAAGGAAGUUGUUGUGUCAUCUGAAGAUGGAAGCUGAGCUGGAAAUGUGUGAAUUUCAAUUUUUUAUAAAGCUCCUAACUUACUACUCAUAUCUUGCAGCACAUUGAUUUGUGUUAUCAGAGGAAAUAACACAAGUGAUGUUUAUAGAUUCUAUUUUCCAAUCAUUUUUUAUUAUUUUCCAAUAAAAAAGGGGGGUAUACAAAACAUAGUGGGACUGACACAUAAGUAUAGUUUUAAAACUUUUAUUAUGUGACAUUUUGAUACAAUAAAGCCUACUUGUUGCAACUUU